GCUUGGUUGGCGGAACGGCAGACGCGGUGGACUCAAAAUCCACUAUUGGUGACAAUUUGAGGGUUCAAGUCCCUUGCCAAGCACCA
rnacentral:tRNA from 1 species